rnacentral:rRNA from 1 species
AUUGAACGCUGGCGGCAUGCUUUACACAUGCCAGUCGAACGGCAGCGCGGGCUUCGGCCUGGCGGCGAGUGGCGGACGGGUGAGUAAUGCAUCGGAACGUGCCCAGUAGUGGGGGAUAGCCCGGCGAAAGCCGGAUUAAUACCGCAUACGACCUGAGGGUGAAAGCGGGGGACCGAAAGGCCUCGCGCUAUUGGAGCGGCCGAUGUCGGAUUAGCUAGUUGGUGGGGUAAAGGCUUACCAAGGCGACGAUCCGUAGCUGGUCUGAGAGGACGACCAGCCACACUGGGACUGAGACACGGCCCAGACUCCUACGGGAGGCAGCAGUGGGGAAUUUUGGACAAUGGGGGCAACCCUGAUCCAGCCAUGCCGCGUGCGGGAAGAAGGCCUUCGGGUUGUAAACCGCUUUUGUUCGGGAAGAAAUCCUCUGGGCUAAUACCCCGGGGGGAUGACGGUACCGGAAGAAUAAGCACCGGCUAACUACGUG